GGAGGAAUAUUGGACAAUGGGGGAAACCCUGAUCCAGCAACGCCGCGUGAGGGAUGAAGACCUUCGGGUUGUAAACCUCUUUUCAGGGAGACGAGCAAGGACGGUAUCCCUGGAAUAAGCCACGGCUAACUACGUGCCAGCAGCCGCGGUAAUACGUAGGUGGCGAGCGUUAUCCGGAUUUACUGGGCGUAAAGCGCUUGUAGGCGGCUCUGUAAGUUGGACGUGAAAGCUCCGGGCUUAACUCGGAGAGGCCGUUCAAUACUGCAGGGCUAGAGGAUGUCAGAGGAAGGUGGAAUUCCUGGUGUAGCGGUGAAAUGCGUAGAUAUCAGGAGGAACACCCGUGGCGAAGGCGGCCUUCUGGGGCAUUCCUGACGCUGAGAAGCGAAAGCUAGGGGAGCAAACAGG
rnacentral:rRNA from 1 species